AGCUGCCCCAGUAGCCCAGUCGUUAGGUAUGUAACCUUUCCUUGUGAGAACGUUGGUUCGACUCCGCUUGCCGACAAUUUCCUGAGAAAAGUUGCAGACCGAGCUACUGAGUUUACUCGGAGGGGGGUGGCGCAAUUUUUUUAUAAAAUUUUUUAUAU
rfam:Plasmodium falciparum NF54 unplaced genomic scaffold supercont1.54, whole genome shotgun sequence.